rnacentral:rRNA from 1 species
CGGGUGAGUAACACGUGGAUAACCUACCUAUAAGACUGGGAUAACUUCGGGAAACCGGAGCUAAUACCGGAUAAUAUUAUGAACCGCAUGGUUCAAAAGUGAAAGACGGUCUUGCUGUCACUUAUAGAUGGAUCCGCGCUGCAUUAGCUAGUUGGUAAGGUAACGGCUUACCAAGGCAACGAUGCAUAGCCGACCUGAGAGGGUGAUCGGCCACACUGGAACUGAGACACGGUCCAG